rnacentral:rRNA from 1 species
AAUCUGAACCAGCCAAGUAGCGUGCAGGAUGACGGCCCUAUGGGUUGUAAACUGCUUUUAUGUGAGAAUAAAGUUAGGUAUGUAUACUUAUUUGCAUGUAUCACAUGAAUAAGGACCGGCUAAUUCCGUGCCAGCAGCCGCGGUAAUACGGAAGGUCCAGGCGUUAUCCGGAUUUAUUGGGUUUAAAGGGUGCGUAGGCCGUUUGAUAAGCGUGCUGUGAAAUAUAGUGGCUCAACCUCUAUCGUGCAGCGCGAACUGUUGAACUUGAGUGCGUAGUAGGUAGGCGGAAUUCGUGGUGUAGCGGUGAAAUGCUUAGAUAUCACGAAGAACUCCGAUUGCGAAGGCAGCUUACCGUAACGUUACUGACGCUUAAGCACGAAGGUGCGGGUAUCGAACAGGAUUAGAUACCCUGGUAGUCCGCACAGUAAACGAUGGAUGCUCGCUGUUGGCCUAUUGUGGUCAGUGGCUUAGCGAAAGCGUUAAGCAUCCCACCUGGGGAGUACGCCGGCAACGGUGAAACUCAAAGGAAUUGACGGGGGCCCGCACAAGCGGAGGAACAUGUGGUUUAAUUCGAUGAUACGCGAGGAACCUUACCCGGGCUUGAACUGCAGCUGAACGAUUCAGAGAUGAUGAGGCCCUUCGGGGCAGCUGUGGAGGUGCUGCAUGGUUGUCGUCAGCUCGUGCCGUGAGGUGUCGGCUUAAGUGCCAUAACGAGCGCAACCCCUUUUCUUAGUUGCCAUCAGGUAAUGCUGGGCACUCUGGGAAUACUGCCACCGUAAGGUGUGAGGAAGGUGGGGAUGACGUCAAAUCAGCACGGCCCUUACGUCCGGGGCUACACACGUGUUACAAUGGCGCAUACAGAGUGUUGGUUUCAUGCAAAUGAGAUCUAAUCUUCAAAGUGCGUCUCAGUUCGGACUGGGGUCUGCAACCCGACCCCACGAAGCUGGAUUCGCUAGUAAUCGCGCAUCAGCCAUGGCGCGGUGAAUACGUUCCCGGGCCUUGUACACACCGCCCGUCAAGCCAUGAAAGCCGGGGGCGCCUAAAGUCCGUGACCGCAAGGGUCGGCCUAGGGUGAAACUGGUGAUUGGGGCUAAGUCGUAACAAGGUAGCCGUACCGGAA